GUUUGGACAGCGUUCAUCCCAGCACUUCCAUUGGGAAAGUGCUUUGGACUAUUUUGACUCAUUUCCACACUGUGCAGUCUCUCAGGAAAAGGAAAGAAGAAUAUCCCCUGUGCUCGCCUGGGAGCCUGUCCUUCCACACUGCAGCCCUGCUGCUUUUGGCCCCACAUGUGCUCAGCAGAGCCCAGGGCUGGCUGUGUGUUGCUGCCUUGGGUGCCCUUGGAGCAGCCCCGUUUGCAUGGACACACGUGAAGCACGGAUUUGUCCGGGGCUCCGCUCCGGAGAGCACGGCCCUGUGUGUGUCCGUGUGCGUCCCUGAUCGGGAGGGAAUGUCCCGACCGUGGCAGGGCCAGCGAGCACUGCCCUGGCCCUGCCCAGCCCAGAGCAGCAGCUGCCCAGGCUCACAAGCAGCCCGAGUGCAGCUGGCUGGGGCCGGCAGCUGCCCGCUGCAGGUGUGCGCAGGGCGGAUCCGCUUCCCGCGCGGUGCCGCUGGUGUGUGCGAUGGGACACGGCUGUCUCUUGUCGCCGGCCGUGCCCAAGGUGCUCGUGUCGCUCGUAGUGCCGGUGCCGUGAGAGGCGGGGCUGAGCCCCGGGGCGGAGCUGGCGGCGGCCCAGAGGAGGCGGCACGGCCGCAGCAGAGCCGGGGCUCAGGGGCACAGCGAGGCUCGGCCGGCGGAGCGGCGCCAUGCGGCGGGCUCGGGCCGCGGGGCUGCCGGCGCUGGCCGCGCUGCUGCUCGUGGCUGUGGCCAGAGCCCAGGUAGAGCAGGAGCCGUUCCUGGAGACCACCGAGGGCACCGGCAUCAGCAUCAAGUGCUCACACGCCAAUAUCCGGAUGGGCGAUUUCAUCCAUUUCUACCGUCAGCUGCCGGGCCAAAGCCCCGAACUCCUAGCCAAGACUGCUAAAGCCUCCAAGGAGGUGCGAGCCCCUGAAGGGCGUCUGACGGUGUCGAAAGAUCGUCGCUCCAGCGCGCUGUGGCUGGCUGCGCCCCGGCGCGGGGACGCGGCCGUGUAUUACUGCGCGCUGGGGACCACGG